UACAUAGGUCUCAAGCGUUGUUCGGAUUCAUUGGGCGUAAAGGGUGUGUAGGUGGCGCGCUAAGUCGGGUGUGAAAUUUCGGAGCUUAACUCCGAAACUGCAUUCGAUACUGCCGUGCUUGAGGACUGGAGAGGAGACUGGAAUUUACGGUGUAGCGGUGAAAUGCGUAGAUAUCGUAAGGAAGACCAGUGGCGAAGGCGGGUCUCUGGACAGUUCCUGACGCUGAGGCACGAAGGCCAGGGGAGCAAACGGG
rnacentral:rRNA from 1 species